CAGUCAUGUUUGAUUCUUUGCGACUCCAUGAAUCGCAGCACGCCAGGCCUCCCUGUCCAUCACCAACUUCCGGAGUUCACUCUGACUCACGUCCAUCGACUCAGUGAUGCCAUCCAGCUUACAUCUGCUAAUCUCUAACUCUCAGUCCACCCCUUCUGUCCCUCCCAGCCCCUCGGCAGCCACAGCAUUAAAUACAGACUAACGAUAAUAUCUUGAGAUUGAGAAGAAAGAGACUCAUUGUGUGUGGAGAAGCUCAAGCUGAAAGCCAGGUCCAGUAGUCUGCUCAGUGACUUCACUUCUCUGAUGGAUCUAAAGGGAAUUUCUGGUUUUCAGUUUGCUCAGUUUUUUACUUCUUAGGACAAGGUGACAAUUUCUAAGCUUCUACUUACCAGACUGGAGACCAGAAGUUAGGAUUUCUUUUUGGAGUGAUGAACAAAAACUGGAAUCAUAUAAUGAUGUUGAUUGGACAACUCUGUGAAUAUACACAUUACCACUGGAAAGUACUUCUAAAUAGUUGAUUUGACAGUAUGCCAAUAAUAUCUCAA
ensembl:lncRNA